GGGAAGUUUGGGAAGAAAAUCCAAGACUUCUCUGGAGAGAGACCAGGAAACAGGCUCAGAGAGAAGAAGGGAAUUAUGUACCUCGGUUUAGAGCCAAAGUGUCCUGCCUGCAUUCCAGCUGUUUCCAUCCAUGUCCAUGUCAACUGGCAUCUGGAACUACUCGUAGCAGCAUCCACUCAAUGUGAGUUGACUAAAUGGAGGAAAAUCUACUAUGGUGCUUGGAAAAACUGGGACUCUCAUGAUUUAGGAUAUAAAGAUUUGUCGUCUGUCUGAAUGGAAGAAAGAACAGGGCAGUGCUGUGGGGACACUAGGACGUCCUAAGGAAACACACUCACUAAUUUAGGGUAAUCAAUCAGGUAAUACUAUUUAUGGGCUAUUAAUGAUACAUGAGGAUCACACUCGGCCCAAGUUCUUUGCUUUGUUUCACUCUCUUGCUCUGACACCCUCUCCUAAGUUUCAAGGCUUUUCCCUCCCACCACCCCUCCCAGCCAUAUCACCACCACCAUAUUUUAAUUCCCCAUUUUUCUUUUUUUCUUUCUUUUUUUUUUUUUUUUUUUGAGACAGAGUCUUCCUCUGUCACCCAGGCUGGAGUGCAAUGGCACGAUCUUGGCUCACUGCAACCUCCGCCUCCUGGAUUCAAGUGAUUUUCCUGCCUCAGCCUCCUGAGUAGCAGGGAUUACCGGCACGCACCACC
rnacentral:lncRNA from 10 species